AACGCGAAGAACCUUACCUGGGCUUGAACUACGGAUGGUAAGCUGUUGGAAACAGUGGCUGACCCGCAAGGGAGUCCGCAGAGGUGCUGCAUGGUUGUCGUCAGCUCGUGUCGUGAGAUGUUGGGUUAAGUCCCGCAACGAGCGCAACCCCCAUUCGAUGUUGCUAAUCCCGCAAGGGAUGCACUCUUCGAAAACUGCCUUCGAUAAGAAGGAGGAAGGUGGGGAUGACGUCAAAUCCUCAUGGCCCUUAUGUCCAGGGCUACACACGUGUUACAAUGGCCGGUACAGAGGGAAGCAAUACCGCAAGGUGGAGCCAAACCCACAAAGCCGGCCCCAGUUCAGAUUGUGGGCUGCAACUCGCCCACAUGAAGGCGGAAUCGCUAGUAAUCGCUGAUCAGCAGGCAGCGGUGAAUACGUUCCCGGGCCUUGUA
rnacentral:rRNA from 1 species